rnacentral:rRNA from 1 species
UACCAGACUCCUACGGGAGGCAGCAGUGGGGGAUAUUGCACAAUGGGGGGAACCCUGAUGCAGCGACGCCGCGUGGGUGAAGAAGCGCCUCGGCGCGUAAAGCCCUGUCAGCAGGGAAGAAAAUGACGGUACCUGAAGAAGAAGCCCCGGCUAACCACGUGCCAGCAGCCGCGGUAAUACGUAGGGGGCAAGCGUUAUCCGGAUUUACUGGGUGUAAAGGGGGCGCAGACGGCAAUGCAAGCCAGGAGUGAAAGCCCGGGGCCCAACCCCGGGACUGCUCUUGGAACUGCAUGGCUGGAGUACAGGAGGGGCAGGCGGAAUUCCUAGUGUAGCGGUGAAAUGCGUAGAUAUUAGGAGGAACACCAGUGGCGAAGGCGGCCUGCUGGACGACAACUGACGGUGAGGCGCGAAAGCGUGGGGAGCAAACAGGAUUAGAUACCCUCGUA